CAACCUCGUGCCGCAUCCACCUCGGCACCGCCCUAGUUGCCCCGUCGGCCACCACACGGCACCGGUGACCCCUAGUAGCACCCGCCGUGCUCGUCCCCCACCUUAAUUCGAUCAAUUUCUCGUCACCGAUGACUAUAAAUCGGCGGAUCUACGGCCGUCGCCGCCAUCUCCAGAUUCGACGCACCUAGUCGCCAUCGUGUUUUGGAGAGAUUUGACAGGGAUCGAACCGGGCAUCCACCUCGAGUGCUACCCGCCGCGUCUCGGUAUGUCCUCCUCUCACCGCUCGCAUCUCACAUGUCGGCCGACCACCGGCACAACAACGUCCGCUCGUCGGUCGGGCUCGGCCCUAGCCCAACAACUCAUCGGCGAGCCUUUGCCGAUAAUCAAGUGUGACCACUGCUGGCGGCUGGUGGUGCGCCACGUUUCGAGCAUGCCGAAACAUCCCGAAUGGGUUUUCUUCAAGUGCGAAAAGGACGGAGACGGAUGCAAAUUUUGGUAUUGGGAAGAAGAAUAUAUUGAUCUAUUGAUAGCAAGAAAUUUGCUUGAUGUUGGUGCAUUAGUUGCUAGAGAUGAAGCUAGAGAGGAUGCAAUGUUCAAGUUCGAAGAGGAAGAGAAGAAAAAAGUGUGCAAGCUCGAGAAGCCGGUAGGGAAAAGAAACAAUGUAGUCAAUAAAGAGAUGGAGAAAGCAUUGAUCGGAUUAACAGGAGCAGUUAAGGAAGUAGUGUUUCUGUUAAAAUGUGUAAUUUUUCUUGUAGUUUUCUUUGUAUUGGUUCUCUUAGCGAAGAAUUGGUGGAGUAUGUAAUCAGAUGAGUAGUGAAGUCUAACUCGAUGGACCAAAAAUAAAUGAAUUCGUGUUUAAGUUUUUA